CACCUGUGACUUUAGGUGUGUUACUUAAUCCUGAGUCUCAGUUUCCUUAUCUCCAAAAACCUUCCUUGCAAAUUUGUUUUGAAGAUUAGACACAAUAUUUAUUUAAAGUGCCUGGCACACAGUAGAUACUUAAUAACAGCAAUUUUGACAAUAAUUAGGAGAAUAUAAUUCAAGCCAUAGAAUGUUCCAGCAGGAAGGAUCUAUGAGAUCACCUAGUCCACGCCCAAUUUUACUGAUGGAGUCCAGAGGUGGUAGGGAAUUUACCCAAGAUCACAAGGCUGGUUUGGCAGAACCAGAAUUCGAGUGUGGGCUCCCAAUCUCCCCUCCUGUGUUCUUUUCUUUCUACCAAACAGGACCAAAAUACCUUGCAUUGAAAGUGGGGAGAUGCUUUAACCUAUUUAUGAUUUGCCACUUUGGUGGGCUCUGAGGUAUGAAUCUUAGCUGGAAUGGCUUUGAGGAAUCCUAGCCAUUGAGUUUACAUAACCAAAAAGUACUGCAACUGCUCUGAGAAGCUGAACAUGCCUUUCAGGUGGCACUUUUCUAGUCCUUCCAAAGCCCGGGGGACAAAAAGGAGCUUCACAGACCUAAUUUUUUGGAAAGGGAAAAGGAAGCCCUGAGAAGCAAUAACCCUCAGCUCAUGCCAAAGGUGGGCAUGGAUUUCAGACCCAUUCUGCAUUUUCCAGAAAGGAAAGGAACUUCCUGACACCAGCAAAGGAUAAAUACAGAAGUCAGUCUAGUCGGCCCCGUUGGCCUCAAAUCUACAGUGCUCUAGAACCCAGCAAAGACCUCCUAAUGCAGGCAGCCCCCGGCCACACGCAGGGGCAAGGGGAACGCAUGCGCACCGGGCCCUUCAACCCCAUCGCCAAGCCUACCCACCUCCUUUCUCAGGGCUGAGAUGCCGUCGAGGAUGUACCGAAUUUGUUUGUCAAUUCGUUCUGAAGAGCCCCCCAAGCCUGGGAUUAUGAAGAAGGUAAUACUACCAGUCAUCUGAGUUCUUCUGUGUUCUGGCUCUCCCUGUGAGCGGCUGUUGUAGAACUGCCUGGCCAUCCUCAAAUUUCGUGCAGUUACUUCAAGGCGUCUCCAGGUGGAGUGUGUGACUCCUUUUUGCCACCGCGUGGCUUCUGCCACUUUCUUCACCUGCUUCAGCCCACUUAGAGGAGGUUGGCUGCUGCCCUGCCCUCUCCCAAGUGACCCCUUGGGAAUCCUCCCAGUGAGGACUUUGCUCUCUGUGCCAGAGGUUUGCCUUGUGCUGCCAGUGCUCUCCCCAUUGCCACUGAGUCUCUUCACCACUGUUUCACUGGGGCACCUGCAUGGGCCCCAGGUCUCCUGGAGCCCUGAAAUUACUGAAGCCCACUUGGUUCAGGGCAGAAAGGGGGAGAAUACUACUCACCUCUUUGUUGGGGAUGUCAAAGGAGGACCUUGUGGCAUCUUGCAGAGUUUGUGUUUAUCGCUCCCUCUCCCUGUAAGUCUUGAUUUGAAAUCAAAA
rnacentral:lncRNA from 1 species